rnacentral:rRNA from 1 species
GCAUAUCAAUAAGCGGAGGAAAAGAAACCAACAGGGAUUGCCUCAGUAACGGCGUAGUGAAGCGGCAACAGCUCAAAUUUGAAAUCUGGCCUCACGGUCCGAGUUGUAAUUUGUAGAGGAUGCUUCGAGCAUGGUCUGGCCUAAGUUCCUUGGAACAGGACGUCAUAGAGGGUGAGAAUCCCGUAUGCGGCCAGGUGCCUACGCUCAUGUGAAGCUCCUUCGACGAGUCGAGUUGUUUGGGAAUGCAGCUCAAAAUGGGUGGUAAAUUUCAUCUAAAGCUAAAUAUUGGCCAGAGACCGAUAGCGCACAAGUAGAGUGAUCGAAAGAUGAAAAGCACUUUGGAAAGAGAGUUAAACAGUACGUGAAAUUGUUGAAAGGGAAGCGCUUGCAACCAGACUUGCGCGCGGCCGAUCAUCCGGUGUUCUCACCGGUGCACUCGGUCGCGCUCAGGCCAGCAUCGGUUUCGGUGGUUGGAUAAAGGCCCUAGGAAUGUAGCUUCUCUCGGGGAGUGUUAUAGCCUAGGGUGCAAUGCAGCCCACCGGGACCGAGGACCGCGCUUCGGCUAGGAUGCUGGCGUAAUGGUUGUAAGCGACCCGUCUUGAAACACGGACCAAGGAGUCUAACAUCUAUGCGAGUGUUUGGGUGUCAAACCCAUACGCGUAAUGAAAGUGAACGGAGGUGAGAACCCUUAAGGGUGCAUCAUCGACCGAUCCUGAUGUCUUCGGAUGGAUUUGAGUAAGAGCAUGGCUGUUGGGACCCGAAAGAUGGUGAACUAUGCCUGAAUAGGGUGAAGCCAGAGGAAACUCUGGUGGAGGCUCGCAGCGGUUCUGACGUGCAAAUCGAUCGUCAAAUUUGGGCAUAGGGGGCGAAAGACUAAUCGAACCAUCUAGUAGCUGGUUCCUGCCGA